UACGUAGGGUGCGAGCGUUGUCCGGAAUUACUGGGCGUAAAGGGCGCGUAGGUGGCCUUCUAAGUUGAACGUGAAAUCCCUGGGCUCAACCCAGGAACUGCGUCCAAGACUGGGAGGCUUGAAUCCGGGAGAGGGAUGCGGAAUUCCAGGUGUAGCGGUGAAAUGCGUAGAUAUCUGGAGGAACACCGGUGGCGAAGGCGGCGUCUGGACGAUGACUGACGCUGAGACGCGAAAGCGUGGGGAGCAAACAGG
rnacentral:rRNA from 1 species